UACGUAGGGUGCGAGCGUUGUCCGGAAUUAUUGGGCGUAAAGGGCUCGUAGGCGGUCUGUUGCGUCGGGAGUGAAAACUCAGGGCUUAACCCUGAGCCUGCUUCCGAUACGGGCAGACUAGAGGUAUGCAGGGGAGAACGGAAUUCCUGGUGUAGCGGUGGAAUGCGCAGAUAUCAGGAGGAACACCGGUGGCGAAGGCGGUUCUCUGGGCAUGACCUGACGCUGAGGAGCGAAAGCAUGGGGAGCGAACAGG
rnacentral:rRNA from 1 species